CAGGACUCGCAAGACUCCUACAACCCUGUGAACUUCACUACAAGCACGUUGCUUCGGCGGGGUGUCUCGGCGAGGUCCCCCUGCCCUCCACCGGGGCGCGCCUAAGCCCGCCGGCAGCCUACUAUACUCUGUCUCUUUGCGUCGGCAUCUCGAGUAAAAUCAAACAAGUUA
rnacentral:misc_RNA from 1 species